ACCCGUGCGUCCACUGCUACACCUCGGACUCAGUGAGGGUGUGGGAGGUGGGCAGUAGCAGUGAGGGAGCAGGGGACAUGCCUCCUCGCGGUCACUCGGGACCAAGGAUAGUAAUAGCGCAGACUAAUACACCACGGGGAAAACACGUUUUAGUGACAACUGAACAAGGUAUCCAGGAGAGAGUUAAAUCACAGUGGACACUUGGAGCAACACAGGCAACACACACUCAUCUGCUGGGCGACUCCCCACCAGCGACAGCACAGUUGUAAUCUGAACCCCAGAGAAGGGACUGCAGGUCUGAUGUCAGAAUAAACGUACACUCAUUUCAGUUGUUCACCCAUGGGCAGUGAUGGUCCAUUUUCCGAAUGCAUCUUUUGCAAAUGCUGAGGAGAAGUUAGAUUUUCACUAAUUUUGUGCUCUGAAGAAACACCACCCACUGAAAACAGCUCUGCUAAGAGGCCGCCCCGGGGGAUCCUGCCCCAGGGAAGAUGCAACAGCGUGAAGUUGGUCCCUCUCUCAGAUCUGGCGAGUGGCCUGGUGAUCGCCACACAAGCUUCCUAGUGGGUCAUACACGUCCACCGAGGCUGAGAAAAUCCUCUGGCCAGAAUCCCACUGCUGCAUAGCUACUCCUCAGGUAGGCAGCAGGCUGAGAAGUGGCACCCGGGUGCUGGACAGGGAGCAGAGCCAUGUGUCCGGAGAUGGAAGAGCCUUUCAUCAGAGCACGGUUGUCUGGUCCAGAAAUAGGGGCACAGAUGGCAGCUCUGACUGCGAGGAAGAGUGAUCGCACACACACCAACCUGGGUGGGGACCGCCCCAGAGGCACGAUAGGGUCCCGCUGUGUCCCUCAGAGCCAGACGUGUAACACCGACCCGGAGGCAGAGGGAAGACAGUCUCAUACCCCACAGUUACUUCCCAAGAUGUUCAAGAAAGCAGUCCAUGAACUCGGGGAGGCUGGGCUGCGCACACUGGGCUCUCUGUGACAGAGCGCAGGUGCCUUCCGCUGAGUCACAGCACCUACGCCGUGUCAGUUUAACAGGAAGGGAGGGGAGGAAGUGCAGAAACUGUUCCCUCAGGCUCAACUCAGCUACAGACACUGGGAACACGAGAGCACAGCAACGGGCGAUGCGACCCCAGGUCGAGGGCGCAGCCUCACUCUGCAGCAGCACCACCUUCGAAAGGAAUGCUCUGGACUUCGGUUUCCCGAGAGAAACCUGAAAGCAUAGUGUGUUGACUGAAGGCCAAGCAGAUAUCGCAUCAUCGGUUUUCUACUUUCAUGGCUAGUUUAAUGGGAUUUUGUCUACACCCCUGAACCUGUUUCUCCUCGUGUUAAAGCAAGCCUCACUUCCCAGAACACCAGGAGCAAUGCUGCAGAUCUCCAUUGUUUAAGGGACAGCCAUUCAAGCAAAACCUUUGCAGUGAUGCAGACUGGAGAAACUACCCUCAUUUUGUGACUCCUGCUGAUAAUCGGGGUCUUGCUCCAGAGACUCACUAUGCUUUUAGGGUAGGUGGGCAGCAAACCAAAGACAGGAGGGGACUCUCAACCAUCAACGGGUGCAAGUUAGUGCGAGCAGUUAGAGAGGAAACAGUGAUUAUAUACCCAGGGAAACACUUACCUCACAAGUUAUCACUAGACAUCACUUGAAUAUUUUGUGCCUUUUCUUGAGGAUCUUAAGGUGCAUACUGUCCUAUGUGAUAGGAU